rnacentral:misc_RNA from 2 species
GUAGGUGAACCUGCGGAAGGAUCAUUACCUAGAGUUUGUAGACUUCGGUCUGCUACCUCUUACCCAUGUCUUUUGAGUACCUUCGUUUCCUCGGCGGGUCCGCCCGCCGAUUGGACAACAUUCAAACCCUUUGCAGUUGCAAUCAGCGUCUGAAAAAACAUAAUAGUUACAACUUUCAACAACGGAUCUCUUGGUUCUG